GAUGAAGAACGUAGCGAAAUGCGAUACUUGGUGUGAAUUGCAGAAUCCCGUGAACCAUCGAGUCUUUGAACGCAAGUUGCGCCCGAAGCCAUUAGGCCGAGGGCACGCCUGCCUGGGCGUCACACGUCGUUGCCCCCCCAUCUACUCCUUCGGGAUUGCGGGGGGCGGAUGAUGGCCUCUCGUGCGCCUCGUCGCGCGGUUGGCCUAAAUGCCAAGUCCUCGGCGACGCACGCCACGACAAUCGGUGGUUGCGAAACCUCGGUUGCCUGUCGUGUGCGGUCGUCGCGCAUCGAGGGCUCGAAAAAAUUGCCGGGCUUCGGCUCGACUUUCAACGCGACCCCUGGUCAGGCGGGGUUACCCGCUGAAUUUAAGCAUAUCAAUAAGCGGAGGA
rnacentral:misc_RNA from 1 species